AUUGAACGCUGGCGGCAUGCCUUACACAUGCAAGUCGAACGGCAGCACGGGAGCAAUCCUGGUGGCGAGUGGCGAACGGGUGAGUAAUACAUCGGAACGUGCCCAGUAGUGGGGGAUAGCCCGGCGAAAGCCGGAUUAAUACCGCAUACGACCUACGGGUGAAAGCGGGGGAUCGCAAGACCUCGCGCUAUUGGAGCGGCCGAUGGCAGAUUAGCUUGUUGGUGGGGUAAAGGCCCACCAAGGCGACGAUCUGUAGCUGGUCUGAGAGGACGACCAGCCACACUGGGACUGAGACACGGCCCAGACUCCUACGGGAGGCAGCAGUGGGGAAUUUUGGACAAUGGGCGCAAGCCUGAUCCAGCUAUGCCGCGUGCGGGAAGAAGGCCUUCGGGUUGUAAACCGCUUUUGUCAGGGAAGAAACGGUCUGAUCUAAUAAGUCGGACUAAUGACGGUACCUGAAGAAUAAGCACCGGCUAACUACGUGCCAGCAGCCGCCGUAA
rnacentral:rRNA from 1 species